UGGAUCCAGACUUUGAUUCUGGCUCAGGAUGAACGCUAGCUACAGGCUUAACACAUUGCAAGUCGAGGGGAAACGACAUCGAAAGCUUGCUUUUGAUGGGCGUCGACCGGCGCACGGGUGAGUAACGCGUAUCCAACCUGCCCAUCACUUGGGGAUAACCUUUGCGAAAGUAAGACUAAUACCCAAUGACGUCUCUAGAAGACAUCUGAAAGAGAUUAAAGAUUUAUCGGUGAUGGAUGGGGAUGCGUCUGAUUAGCUUGUUGGCGGGGUAACGGCCCACCAAGGCAACGAUCAGUAGGGGUUCUGAGAGGAAGGUCCCCCACAUUGGAACUGAGACACGGUCCAAACUCCUACGGGAGGCAGCAGUGAGGAAUAUUGGUCAAUGGGCGAGAGCCUGAACCAGCCAAGUAGCGUGCAGGAUGACGGCCCUAUGGGUUGUAAACUGCUUUUAUAAGGGAAUAAAGUGAGUCUCGUGAGACUUUUUGCAUGUACCUUAUGAAUAAGGACCGGCUAAUUCCGUGCCAGCAGCCGCGGUAAUACGGAAGGUCCGGGCGUUAUUCCGGAUUUAUUGGGUUUAAAGGGAGCGUAGGCCGGAGAUUAAGCGUGUUGUGAAAUGUAGACGCUCAACGUCUGCACUGCAGCGCGAACUGGUUUCCUUGAGUACGCACAAAAGUGGGCGGAAUUCGUGGUGUAGCGGUGAAAUGCUUAGAUAUCACGAAGAACUCCGAUUGCGAAGGCAGCUCACUGGAGCGCAACUGACGCUGAAGCUCGAAAAGUGCGGGUAUUCGAACAGGAUUAGAUACCCUGGUAG
rnacentral:rRNA from 1 species